AUUGAACGCUGGCGGCAGGCCUAACACAUGCAAGUCGAGCGAGAAAGGUCUUCGGACUGAGUACAGCGGCGGACGGGUGAGUAAUGCGCAGGAAUCUACCUGGUAGUGGGGGAUAACUCGGGGAAACUCGAACUAAUACCGCAUACGCCCUACGGGGAAAGCGGGGGACCUUCGGGCCUCGCGCUAUCAGAUGAGCCUGCGUAGGAUUAGCUUGUUGGUGAGGUAAAGGCUCACCAAGGCGACGAUCCUUAGCUGGUCUGAGAGGAUGAUCAGCCACACUGGAACUGAGACACGGUCCAGACUCCUACGGGAGGCAGCAGUGGGGAAUAUUGCGCAAUGGGCGAAAGCCUGACGCAGCCAUGCCGCGUGUGUGAAGAAGGCCCUUGGGUUGUAAAGCACUUUCAAUUGGGAAGAAAGGUUGCGUGUUAAUAGCACGUAGCUGUGACGUUACCUUUAGAAGAAGCACCGGCUAACUCCGUGCCAGCAGCCGCGG
rnacentral:rRNA from 1 species